CUCAUGAAAGGGUCAGGAUGCAGGCUAGAGACCAUGCACUUUCUUAGCUUCUGCCAAGCUACUAAGGUCAAUCUACCUUUUGCAAAAGAAAACAAAAAACAAAAAAGAACAAAAACCAAAAAAAAAACAGCUAACAAGAACUCAUGACAUUAUUGACAUUUCUGUGAUACCAAUUCUUUUUUUAUAACUAGUGUCCUCCAUCCCUCAUGCUGCAAAAUUCCCUAGAAAAUUUUUUGGUUAAAGUUCACCCUAUGAGAAAGCCUUGUGUGAGUUUCUGAGUGGAAACUGAGAGUAAUGUUGCUUUUUCAUAUUGAUGCCUAUCUAGUACUGAACAGAAAUAGUUCCCAAUUGAAGCAGGUUUGGAGCCACAGGUGACCAUAGGGAUUUCUGAAAAGUUACACAAAUCUUGGAGAGGGCUUUUGUUUUCCAUAUGGGAUAAAACAAAAGAUUGGGAAAAUCUCACAUUAGGUUCUAGGAUGGUAGGGAACUUGGCUGAUAUGUAGGUAAAAUAAUUGUCCAGACUGCUUGAGUUUACUGGCAAAGAAAUACACAAAGAGUUUGGAACAGAACUUACUUUGCUCUCCCAGGUUCACAGAUGUCAUUGCAGCUGUUCCAUUGCCGGUAGCUAAGAAGACACUGCAGGGCAAAUCAGUAAGAGAAAUGAUUGCUGUUGCUGUGUCACUGCAGACUGUACCUGCUAAUACAUCGAGUGUGGUCGACGUCCCUACUCUAAGUAGAACUAGCUGGCUUCUAAGCAACUGUUGCCAUGGUAGGAUUGGUAGUAGUAGUUCCCUUUGGGUUCUGCUUUCAUUUAUCACUCUAUGGAAACAAUAGUUCCUCCUCUAAAGUCAAUGAAGGCUGGCUAGGUCCAGAGUGUGGCAAGAGAGGGAAGAAUGGCUUGACAGCAUCACCAGCUUCCACAGACAAGGAUGCUACAGUGGACAUGGCAUGCCAGGGUUACCCUUUCAGGAGCGUUAAGUUUUUCACAACACUUGGUUUCUAAAGUCAAUGUAGUAUCGGGCCCUCAGAGUGAGAGGCAUCUGUUGUGGAAGAAUAAUGCCGGCCUCCUCUAGGUGGUCUCUUCUCAGAACCUCAGGGCAUCCAUUUAUUAUGACAGAAGGAAACUACUGUGUGUGCUCACUGUCACACUUCCUCUUAGCUACCCGUUUCCAAAAUGAGUGUAUGUUUUACAGAUGAUUUUUCACUAGAUUUACAUAUACUGUGUGUGUGUGUGUGUGUGUGUGUGUGUGUGUGUGUGUGUGUGUGUAAGUAGAAGGGGACUAUUUACAAGAAGGAAGAAGAUAACUGAAGGAAAGGGGGAACAAGAGGAGGUAGUGGGGUAUGAAAAUAAGAAAAUCUAUUAUUUUGUAUGAUAACAAGUUUUUGUUUUUUUUUUUUUUAAAGAUUCACCAGUUUGAAUAUGGGGAACUUGAAAGAAUAUCCCAGUCUUCCUGAUUAUGUUGAGCACUGUGUAUUGAGGGGUGUGUGUGUGUGUGUGUGUGUGUGUGUGUGUGUGCAAGAAAAGUACAACAAAGGAAGGCAGGGUAGAAAAGAAGAGCAGCUGCUGGGUUCUCCACCCAUAGUCUAGUUUUAGUCCUUGGUUAAUGUGAAACUGUAUAAACCUGUUAUAAAAAUUGAAAUGCCCAAAGUGAAAUACAAUCAAUCCUUACUGCAGGUUGACUUUAGUCAUAUCCUCAGAAUUAGGAACUAUCCACGUUGCCUGGAAGCCAGAACUGUCUGAGGGUGUCACGCGAUAUAGGACACUGCUGUCAUUGCAUUCCUGAGUUGCUCCAACCCAGGAACCCACGGGCUUGUUCUGGUUCACUGCUUUCAGAAUCACGGCACUGACGGAACUGUUCACGUGAACCAACACUAGGAGGAAAGAACAAGGAAGCAGUUAGUGUGAGCCAAGCAGAACCAAAACGAAGUGUGAGCAGAGGAAGUCACAGAGUGUGGGCAGCAUGGUCCUAUUGCUGUAAAAGAUAUUGAAGAUGACCUAGACGAAAGUACAAAGACACCAACUGGGGACCAACCCAGUGUGUCGCACACCUGUAGUUCCAGCAUUUGGGAGGUGGGGAUGGAGGAUCAUGAGUUCAGUGUCCUCUUCAGCUACGAAAAAGUUUAAAGCCAGCCUGGGCUUCAGAUGAUUUUAAUAUUCUUCUUCAUGCUUGUAUUUCAUUUUCCAAAUAGUCCACAGUGAAAGGCGGUGAAGAGUCCGAUCACCUCCUGGCCCUGGUUCUGCUGCAGUCUAGGGGGCAAAUUCUAAGAGCACAUAGCUUAACCUCUCCUCAAAGAUAAGUAACCCUGAAAAAGUUAGGAGGUCUCCUAGGAAGUACUUCAUGGAUACAGAAGAGUAUUGUUGCUAAGUAAAAGCAAAGCCUUGCUCCUGACCCCAGAACAACUGCUCUCUUGGUCUCGGUUGUUGAAGGUGAGGAUGGGGGUAGGACAGUGGUUGGGGUAGGGGUGUGACAAUGAGGUCUGGGCCAAAAUCCUAUUCUAAGGACCAAUCAACUAACCCCUUAGGGGUCUUCUCUAGUCAGCUGAGGACUGUGACCCAGCCUGUCUACCCUUACAGGGAUCUUGCAAACCUUUGUUAAUUUCAACAUGAGGAUAUUUCAUUUUCUCUGGUUUUCUCUCCUAGAAGAGCCAGCAUGAGUAAAUGCUUCAAUACUGGGGUGUCUCAGUCAUCUGAAACUCCUCCACAAAGCAAAGCAGGGGCUCAUGUAGCAUAGCAGUUCGAUAGUCAUAGAUCUUCAUCCUGGGUCUAGUACUUAGGAGCAAGGCAAGUCACCUGUGGGCCUUGGUUUCUUCUUGCUCAGUGGUCACUGUGUACAGUUUUUUUUUUUUUUUUUUUGAAACAGGAUCUUGUCCCAGGCAAAACUCAGGUAUAGCUGAGGAUGACCUUGAACUCCUGAUUCUCCUGCUUCUAUGUCUUGUGUACAGGCAUUACAGGUGUGUACUGCCAUGCCUAGUUUAUGAAAUACCAGAAGUUGUUAUGUUCUAGGCAAGCACUGUACUGAUUUUUUGUAAGUUCCCACUUUGUUGCUCUGGGUCUGGAGAACAAUGACAUUAUCCCUCAUUGUCUGGGAUGAUGCUACCUGUCAGUAAAGGCUCCUGAGAGGAUUGAAGAAAAGAUGCUAACACGUGGUUCAUAUUGGACAAAUUGUGAGUGUUAUUACUAAUUAUAUUUCAGCACAUUAUAAUUCAUUGGCCUAGUUGCUUGCCAAGAAGGUCAGCUGACCCAAAUCCCAUAAGUCCUGACUCAUUCAGAGAGGUGCUGGCUUUUGUCCUACAUUUUUGCACCCUGGUGGGGCAGAAGGUGAUGCACAACAGUGUCAUUUAGUAGAUAAGAGAGUCAUCAAUCCUCUUAGCUCUCCAAGGAUGUUUUCUUGACUGUUCCUUUUUCUGCUUUUCCCCUUUUGCUGUGGGUUUAUGCCUUCCUUUCUUUCUUCCUAAGCACAGGCAUUCUCUGGAAUUGUGACCUCAGUCUCUCCCUCAGCAGUGACCAGACCAGACUUCCUCACAUAACAAGUGGGAAGUGCGCCCUCCUAUCUAGAGAAUCGAAACAUUUCCACUUUCACAUUCCUGCCUCUUCCUUGUCAGUGACAGUAUUCAGGACCCCAAGAGCCUAGCCUCCCUCUUCAGUCCACAUUCCACUCUAGAGACAGCAGCUGGUUCCCUUCCCCCCUCCCCCUCCCCUUCUCCCACCCCCAGCUGCUCUGCAAGUGCACCUGGCUCCAGUCUGACCCGCACCUGGGCCUAGUGUUUGUUCGAAUCUGGAUGCUUGUCUGGAGCCUUCCUUUUCUUUUACCAUUCACCCAGUCCCUAUUUAGACACCGAGAUCUUGCUCACAUCCCUCCUCGGGACUAAGCCCUCUUUUCCCCUCAUACCUGAGAUAUUGAUACCUUGUUUAUAGGUUUUUAUAUAUUUUAGAUUAUAUUUUAUGGUUUCUUUGGUGUCAGUAUCUAGGCAGCCCAGUGUUUGGCACGAAACAACUACUUUUGAUUGAUCCUAAGGCCCUGCAUCAGGCAGGGAGGCGGAUGUAAAGUUGGUGGUAGAGUGUUUGUCUAGUGUGUUUGAGGUCUUGGAUUCUGUCUCUAGCACUUAAAAAAAAAUCCUGUAUUCAAUGGAGUACAAUGCCCUUAAAGCUGGAAAGUUCAGGGAGUAAUAAAUUACAUCCUUCUUGUCCGUAGAAGUGAGCAAUGAGGCAGGGGGUGGCCUAGUAUAGUCAGUUGUAAUGUAAAUAUUGCUUCUUCCCUGAGCAGGUCCAGGGAAGGUGCGCUGGGGUGUUGGCUACACUGAAGCUGUCUCUGGGGGUCUACCAAGCCAUUUGUGCAUAGAUCAUCAAUGCUGACACAACGCUGAAGUGGAAAAAGAUUUCAAGUCCACACGAGAAGGCAGCUGACCUGGUGUUUAUUCGGGUCUCAGAAGGUCUGAGUCCUGGCCAUGGCAUUCUACAGUGGCACUGACAUCACCAGGAAUGAAUCACCAGCCUCCACCAAUUCCAGUUUUGCUCAAGAAGAGGACUAGACAAACUCUUGUGCAUGUCCCUCACCUCAACACCUGACAGCUGAAGCAGUAGAGAAGUGAAAGUUUACCAAUUGCUGCAGGCCUUCAUCGGUCCCUCUGGGAAAGACCACUAUCAAGGGACAGAAAGCAUCUAUCCUUUCAAGAUCAAAGCCUAAAGUCUCUUAAAUUCACCAGAAGUGGUCUGAAGCAGUCAUUGCUGGUCCGAGGAGCCCUGGGGUUUUGACCUUGUCUCCUAAGAAUUCACUGGUCACUCUGCGCCUUCAUUUUAUGUGACUGUGCUUUAAGUGCACAGUGGGAUGUACCUGAUGCUGUACUUGGAUGGUUGGGUAUGUGCCAAUGGUCCCUGGUUUGGUGUUGGGUGUUCGGUGAGCUAUAGUGUCUAUAGUCAAUUAUUGAAUUCCAGGCUGGCCAUACCUCCCAGAGACAGUCUGGAAAAUUCUUCACUUGUCUUUGGGGAAUGAUAGAAACAAGAACAAAAAUGGUAAGAUUUAAAAGAGAAAACAAAAUGUAUUCUGUUAAUUUGGAACUGACAACUUUUGACUGCCUUUAAUUCUGGUCCCCUCCACCUUAACUUAUCUGUAUUUACCUUAUAAUAAAUGGGAUGUAAUGUGGACAAGAUAUUCACACUCAUAAGCCUGGUUUAGUCACUUCUCAUCGAGCUUUACAGCAUGGGGGAAGUUAGGGUUUUGUUCCCCAAUACUUUACUGUGGAAAAAGCUGUGGGGAAUUCCUCCCACCAACUUGUUUCAGCUUAACUUAUUCUCAGAGUACUAAUACAUGCUAAAAUAACCAUGGGAGAUGGAAGAUUUAACAAGUGGAUCCUCCAGGAUGAAACUCAAGCCAUUACAUUUAAUUUUUCUUAUAAAAAUUAAGAUGUAUCUCAGAACACAUUGGUGACAAAAAUAGUUGAUCUACCAAGAAAUCCAUCUCUACCAAAACACUUUGGACUAUGAGAUAAACAAGACCUUACACUAAAUUUUACAAUAAAGGAGCUGGAAACCACAUGGUGGCUCAAAACUACGUAUAAUUCCAGUUCUGGGUCUGAUACCUUCUGACCUCUGCAGGCACCAGGCAUCCAUGUGGUGCACAGACAUGUAAACAUUCUCACAAAAUAAAAUAAUUCUAUAAGGAAGGUUUUACAACAAAGGAGGGGUUAAGGGAGGUGAGUGGAUAUGGUCAAAUAUAUUGUAUAAAAUUCUAAAAAGAAGAAACUAAAGAUAUUUUAAAAAUAAAUUAAGUAAGCUAAGGCAAAACUGGAAAAGGUAUUUCUAGCUUUGCUGUAUUGCCUAAUACAAUAUUGUAUUUUAUUGACAGUAGAAAGAAAUCCUAUCAGACCUGUACGGUAAGAAUUUUGAGUCUCUAAAGAAAGAAAUGAAAGAAGAUACCAGAAAAUGGAAAGAUCUCCCAUGCUCUC